rnacentral:rRNA from 1 species
AGACCGAUAGCGAACAAGUAGAGUGAUCGAAAGAUGAAAAGUACUUUGGAAAGAGAGUUAAAAAGCACGUGAAAUUGUUGAAAGGGAAGCGCCUGCAAUCAGACUUCGCGGCAGUGUUCCGCCGGUCUUCUGACCGGUUCAUUCUCUGUCGCGAGGCCAUCAUCGUCUCGGCCCGCUGGAUAAGACCUUGGGAAUGUAGCUCACCUUCGGGGGAGUGUUAUAGCUUAGGGUGAUGCAGCGCGGCUGGGGCGAGGUCCGCGCUUCGGCAAGGAUGAUGGCGUAAUGGUUGUCGGCGGCCCGUCUUGAAACACGGACCAAG